GAGGGUGUAGCUCAGUGGUAGAGCGCAUGCUUAGCAGGCACGAGGUCCUGGGUUCAGUCCCCAGCACCUCCA
rnacentral:tRNA from 1 species